CAAAACGUAGCUUAACCCUAAAGCCCCUCGCUUACACCGAGUAAAUGUCUGUUAAACCCAGAUCGUUUUGA
rnacentral:tRNA from 1 species